AAGAUGCUAGUAAUAAAGAUUACACCGCCUUGUCAAGGCGGAAUUGUGGGUUAAAACCCCGCGCAUCUUA
rnacentral:tRNA from 1 species